CGGCGAACGGGUGAGGAACACGUGAGGAAUCUGCCUUCUACACUGGGAUAACUCCGGGAAACCGGGGCUAAUACCGGAUAUGAAACUUGGUGGCAUCACCGAGUUUGGAAAGUUUUUCGGUAGAAGAUGACCUCGCGGCCUAUCAGCUUGUUGGUGAGGUAAUGGCUCACCAAGGCGACGACGGGUAGCCGGCCUGAGAGGGCGACCGGCCACACUGGGACUGAGACACGGCCCAGACUCC
rnacentral:rRNA from 1 species